GUAGGGAAUAUUGGGCAAUGGAUGCAAGUCUGACCCAGCCAUCCCGCGUGCCGGAAGAAGGCCCUCAGGGUUGUAAACGGCUUUUGACGGUGAAGAAUCGACAGGAUGCGUCCUGUUUUGACGGUAGCCGUUGAAUAAGCACCGGCUAACUCCGUGCCAGCAGCCGCGGUAAUACGGAGGGUGCGAGCGUUGUCCGGAUUUAUUGGGUUUAAAGGGUGCGUAGGCUGGAAGGUCAGUCAGCGGUGCAAAGCUGUAGCUUAAAGAUAGUCUUGCCGCAGAUACGACCGUUCGUGGAGGAGGAGGAGGCCAAUGGAACGGAUGGUGUAGCGGUGAAAUGCAUAGAUAUCAUCCAGAACACCGAUUGCGAAGGCAGGUGGCUGUGCCUUAAUCGACGCUGAUGCACGAAAGCAUGGGGAGCAAACAGGAUUAGAAACCCGGGUAGUCC
rnacentral:rRNA from 1 species